GACAGAGGGUGCAAACGUUGUCCGGAUUUAUUGGGUUUAAAGGGUGCGUAGGCGGUUCCAUAAGUCAGUGGUGAAAUACGGCAGCUCAACUGUCGAGGUGCCAUUGAUACUGCGGAACUUGAGUGUUGAUGAGGCAGGCGGAAUUGACGGUGUAGCGGUGAAAUGCUUAGAUAUCGUCAAGAACACCGAUAGCGAAGGCAGCUUGCCAAGCAACAACUGACGCUCAGGCACGAAAGUGCGGGGAUCAAACAGG
rnacentral:rRNA from 1 species